rnacentral:rRNA from 1 species
UACGUAGGGAGCAAGCGUUUGUCCGGAUUUAUUGGGCGUAAAGAGCUCGUAGGCGGCUUAGAAAGUCGGGUGUGAAACCUCCAGGCUCAACCUGGAGACGCCACUCGAUACUUCUAUGGCUUGGGUUCGGUAGGGGUAAGCGGAAUUCCUGGUGUAGCGGUGAAAUGCGCAGAUAUCAGGAGGAACACCGACGGCGAAGGCAGCUUACUGGGCCGAUACUGACGCUGAGGAGCGAAAGCGUGGGGAGCGAACAGG